rnacentral:rRNA from 1 species
CAGCCGCCACGGUAAUACGUAGGUGGCAAGCGUUGUCCGGAAUUAUUGGGCGUAAAGGGCUCGCAGGCGGUUUCUUAAGUCUGAUGUGAAGGCCCCCGGCUCAACCGGGGAGGGUCAUUGGAAACUGGGAAACUUGAGUGCAGAAGAGGAGAGUGGAAUUCCACGUGUAGCGGUGAAAUGCGUAGAGAUGUGGAGGAACACCAGUGGCGAAGGCGACUCUCUGGUCUGUAACUGACGCUGAGGAGCGAAAGCGUGGGGAGCGAACAGGAUUAGAGACCCGUGUAGUCCCUGUCUCUUAUAC